GGAACUACGCCCUCCGGGAUCGCCUUUUGGGAGGAGAUUCCAAACCACCUUAUCGAUAAUGGCACGGGGCAUUAGCUAAAGAGCGUUGUUCAAAGAGCGUUGUCCAAAGCGGUACGGAAAAGUUAGAGCAAUGACUCUUUCAGGU
rfam:Acidithrix ferrooxidans strain Py-F3 AXFE_contig000182, whole genome shotgun sequence.